AAACCACUACGAGUGAAAACUUAAAACUUAAAAGACUUGACGGUACUUCAAACCACCCUAGAGGAGCCUGUCUAAUAACCGAUAACCCACGCUUAACCCAACCCACUCUAGCCAACCAGUCUAUAUACCGCCGUCGCCAGCCCACCUUGUGAAAGAAACAAAGUGCGCCAAAUAGUACAACACUAACACGACAGGUCGAGGUGUAACAUAUGAGCGGGAACAGAUGGGCUACAUUUUCUAAAACAGAACAAACGAACAAGGACAUGAAACCGACCUUCAAAGGCGGAUUUAGCAGUAAGAACACGGAGCACAUUACCCAACUGAAACUAAUGCAAUGAAGUGCGC
rnacentral:rRNA from 1 species